UCCGAUGGGUACUUUGGCCGUCAUAAGCGUAGGUUUAAUCGUCAGCAUAUUUUCAGGUAUAAAACAGAUGCGUUUUUGGCAUGUGAGGCACACUACAUCCAUUGUUCUGAACAACUGAUGCCAUACUUUGUAUCCAAGGAGGAAGACAGCUAAAACUGCAGCCUGGGCUUACCCUAUCAAAAGACGAUCUCACCUGCUACAAAGCCUACAAGACACUCAAAGAAAAGGUUUUAGGUACUGCGGGAAAGCUUGAUCUUGCACAAGAGCUAGAAAUAUCGCUUGGAAAAUCAAACCAUGCUUUCUGUGAUAUGGAGAUAUCUACUCAGAGUUUGCCUUAGAAAUAUUAUAAAGAUGAAAAUGUUUGCACAACUUUUCUUUUUCUAAUUUUAUAUACAAACACAAACACAUGGGGAAACUUUCUGAAAUCUUACUACAGUAGCAGUAAAAAAAACAUUUGUCCAAAAAUGGAAAAUUUUAAGCAUCCAAAUAUAUAAAAGACAUUUGCUGAAACUGAAUUGAACUUUUGAUUCUGCAUACAUUUAUAGUUUGGCACAGAGAGUUUUAAAAGA